GAUGAAGAACGUAGCGAAAUGCGAUAAGUAAUGUGAAUUGCAGAAUUCAGUGAAUCAUCGAAUCUUUGAACGCACCUUGCACCCUUUGGACUGCUCCAAAGGGUAUGCUCGUUUGAGUGUCAUUGUACUCUCACACUCUCUGAUCCUUUGGAUUUGGGGAGCAGUGGACUUGGGUGCUUGCUGCUUCCUUGUGGCUCACCUGAAAUGCAUCAGUGCAUCUCUCGAUUGGACAUAGUACGGCGUGAUAAGUGUCUUCGCCGGCACCUCAUAUGAGGGUGGCCGAUCGGGAGCUCUGCGCUUUCAAACCGUCUUCGGACAACGCUGACAACUUGACCUCAAAUCGAGUAGGACUACCCGCUGAACUUAAGCAUAUCAAUAAGCGGAGGA
rnacentral:misc_RNA from 1 species